UGGGGGAUAUUGCACAAUGGGCGAAAGCCUGAUGCAGCGACGCCGCGUGGGGGAUGAAGGCUUUCGGGUUGUAAACCUCUUUCGCUAUCGAACAAGGCCCGCUUAGGGUGGGUUGAGGGUAGGUGGAGAAGAAGCGCCGGCUAACUACGUGCCAGCAGCCGCGGUAAUACGUAGGGCGCGAGCGUUGUCCGGAAUUAUUGGGCGUAAAGGGCUUGUAGGCGGCUUGUUGCGCCUGCUGUGAAAACGCGGGGCUUAACUUCGCGCGUGCAGUGGGUACGGGCAGGCUUGAGUGGGGUAGGGGGGACUGGAAUUACAGGUGUAGCGGUGGAAUGCGCAGAUAUCUGGAGGAACACCGAUGGGGAAGGAAGGUCACUGGGCCAUUACUGACGCUGAGGAGCGAAAGAAUGGGUAGCGAACAGG
rnacentral:rRNA from 1 species